GACAAUUGCAUUUUGGAUCAUUUGAUCAAUAGUCUUUUGAAAAUUAUGAUUAGAAAAGUAAAAUCUAGGACCCUCAAAUAACUCUCCUUUUCAAAAUAUUUAUUGACACUUCCUUUUGUGUUUGUGUGUGACAAGGAAAAAUGAGAAGGAGCAGGUUCCACAUAUACAAAGUUGUGAAGGAUGUGCAGUCUAUGGAGGCAGUUUCUACAUCUCUCAAUGAGGGAAUUAUCUCUAUCUUUAACAUUUGCUAGUCCCUCAAGGAAGCACAUAUCAGUCCCAUUACUGACACAUGCUCCAAUUACAACCAAAUUAGGAAAAAUAUCACGCAUGCUGAGCAGUGCUUGAAAACAUCUGAGAAAAUGAUUCAAGGAAAACUGGAAGAUCUGGAUGAAAGCAUGUGCCAACUUAUAAGAGAGAAACAAAAUGUUGAGCAACAGAAAAAAGAGAAAAAUCUGGCUUUGGAUAAUUUAUACAUUAAGAAGUCGUCUGCUGUGGAAUCAUUGAGGCAUUCCAUAGGGGCUUUGGAAGAGGCUGAAAGAUAGAAUCAGCAAAUCAUGCCAUAAGAGUACAUCAAGACAGGAUGAACACAUCCAAUGAUGUUGCAACUACAGGAGCGAUACUGUGUGCAAUACCAAUUUUGGGAUGGAUUGCUGGUCCGAUCAUGAUAAGUGAGGGACAGCAGGGAUUUGAAGAAGCUUUAAAUUCCUUGAGGGCUGCUGAAUGGGAAAAACAAAACUUUGAGUCUCAAGUAAGGAACUGCAAUGAAAAAGUCUCUCAUUAUGAGGAAUAAUCUCUAGGACACACAAUGAAAUUGAGCAGACCAAUGAGGCUCUAAGGAGAAUUGAGUGGAAGGUUGAAGAGGUUCAAAAGAAUCUAAAUGACACAGAAAAUGUUCAAAACAUGGUGAGGAGAGCUGUGCACCUUCUGGGUGUUCUUAGUGGAAAUGUCGAUGUACUGGAGGAGCAAACACAACGUUUUAUCAACUGGCAGCCUGUGGUGGAGGUCAUGCAAGAUGUGAUAAAGGCAGUAUUAAAUAUUGCUGAGAAUCGGCUCCUCUAUAGAGAUGGUGCACCAAGCCUUAUAAAUACUUUGAGAGAGAAUGUUACAGGACUACUGUCUUUACACAACUCAUCCAGUUAUUCUGAAUAUGACAGUUAUUGCUGAUAAUCUCCAUGUAACAUAGCAAAGGUUUAUAGAAGAAAAAGUUUUAUUGUUGUUUUAGAAACCAAGUGAUUCUGGAAAUUAUCUCCACAAUGAUGUAUGACAGU